rnacentral:lncRNA from 1 species
CAGAGACGCCAACAAUGAUUAAGUUCAAAAGACUUGAUUAUUGAAAAAGGGCACAAGAAGUUUUAAAUUCUGAACUCCAAAAAAAUAUCUAUAAAAAAAUAACUUAGCCUGAUGAAUCAAAGAAGCUCCUUAAAGAUGUAUAGUUGUUUUUAGACAAUUGGACCUAUCCCAAGCUCUUUCUACCCCUAAUUAAUAUACUAACC